rnacentral:rRNA from 1 species
UGGGGUAUAUUGGACAAUGGGGGGAACCCUGAUCCAGCCAUGCCGCGUGUGUGAAGAAGGCCUUAUGGUUGUAAAGCACUUUAAGCGAGGAGGAGGCUCUCUUGGUUAAUACCCAAGAUGAGUGGACGUUACUCGCAGAAUAAGCACCGGCUAACUCUGUGCCAGCAGCCGCGGUAAUACAGAGGGUGCGAGCGUUAAUCGGAUUUACUGGGCGUAAAGCGUGCGUAGGCGGCUUUUUAAGUCGGAUGUGAAAUCCCCGAGCUUAACUUGGGAAUUGCAUUCGAUACUGGGAAGCUAGAGUAUGGGAGAGGAUGGUAGAAUUCCAGGUGUAGCGGUGAAAUGCGUAGAGAUCUGGAGGAAUACCGAUGGCGAAGGCAGCCAUCUGGCCUAAUACUGACGCUGAGGUACGAAAGCAUGGGGAGCAAACAGG